rnacentral:lncRNA from 1 species
UUAAUUAAGAGUAAGUUUUAUAUUUUUAUAUUUUAGUCUUCUUAGCCCAAAAUUAAGACCCAAUAAGACAUGGACCCAACCCAAAUUCAAUUUUAAAGCCCAAAAACUCAUUAGACCCAUGAGAUCUUUCUUUUUUUAACCCUAAAAAUCCUUAAGCAUAAGAGGACCCUGAGACCUAAGACUAAUGGGCCGAAAAAAAUACACAAAAAUAGACCCUAGAGACCUUACAUCCGCCGUUUACACCAAGGACCCCCCGUUCUUCUUCUUCAAUGAGCAACUAACCUAAAAAUCCCUAGGGAAGCUAACAUAAAACAACCGCAAGACCCUAAAGAUCGGCGGAUUUUCAUCGAAAAGGACCCUUCCCCCAUCCGUUUAUGAUCUUCUUGACAAAAAAAUGAGAAGCAGCAAAAAAUUUCAUCUUCCUCUCAAAAACUUAGACAAAAUAAAGAACUCUAGGGACUAAAUCAACCAAAAAACCAACAAAGAACACACACACAGUCACACGCUGGAGAUUCACAUUCGUAGACUCUCGGUCCCGCACGUCCUUCACUCACCUUCACUUACUGUCGAAGAGAGUCAAAAUGGAUUCAAAUUGUAUUUUGGAUUUGGAAACAAAACCCUUGAAAAACUGAAAACAAAGAUAGAAACAAACGAGGAUUUCUAGAUUUCAUGGGGAUUUCGUUAAUUCAUAUGGUUUUCUAGUAAAGUUUAGUCCAUCGAUUCCAAUUGAGGUUCUGGUCACAGGUUCAUCAGUUCUCUUAAAGAUUUUUUGGGUGUUCUUUCCUUAAUCAGCUUUCAAAAAGGGUGGUGCAGUAGAGGUGCAUCUCUCACACCUUUAUAUUAUUUCAUCUCAUCAUUCUAGUUUGGUGAAGGAUUUUGAUUGAUUUUGUAUUCUAUUAUGUUGGUGUUUGUAUUUGCUGUCUUAGUUUCCUCAUUUGGUUAAGUGCCUUAAGUCAUGAUAAUGAAUACAAUAAAUUGAUAAAGACGAUUAUCUUCCGCGCUUUGAAAUUCGUGUGCAAUUUGGUUAAACUAGAUCCGAUGUUAAUGUGUGUAUAUGUUAGAUUGUGUUUUGAGGAAAUUCGUUUAAAUUAAUACACUGAGUCAAUUGAGGUUUACUUUCUUAUAAUGAUUUCAUUUGGUCUACUAGGAUUGGAUGCUUUGCCUCAGUUGAAUGGGUUGUAUUGGAUGAGCAGAACUUUUAAUAAUAUUUGGCCACGAGCUUUGUCGUUAAAUGAAAGAAAGUUGGAGAUUAUUACUUUAUUCUCUUAAUUAGUAAUAAGAGCAUACUUAGGCCACCACACCCGAGUAGGCGAACCUUUAGGCACGUAAUUAAAUCAUCACAACUACGGGUAUGGUUCCCAUGGCGUGGUUGUGGUACUUAAUCUCAAAUUAGUUUUAAAUAUGAACAUCCGUAGUUCACUUAGUUGAAUGCUUUUCCUUUAAUAAAAUUAAGGUAUGUCAUCCAAUCACCUAGUCUAUGGCCCUCACAUCGAUAUCUUAACUAGUGUAGAAAAUGCCUUGAACUCUCGUAGUUUGCUUUAGGCACGUUUAAUUAAAUAAAUUGUCAUAGCUAUGGGUACAGUUCCCGUGACGUAGUUGUGAUGCUUAAUUUCUAAAUCCGUGGUACAUUUAUGUGACCCGGCCACAAUUUAAUCUUAUUGAUAAAAUAAAUAUAUUGUGGAUCGUGGGUACGGUUCUCGUGAUAUGAUUCGCAAUGUGUAAUCAAAUAAUUAGUGGUAAAAUAAUUGGAUUAUUAAAAGCGGUUUAAAAAGAAUAAAAUUGCACAUAAGUCUCAAGAAUGUUUUAAAAUCAAAUAAAUAGGCCAAUAUUAACAGUUGAGUGACCGUGCUAAAACCCUGAAACCCGGAAAUGCCUAACACCUUCUACCGAGUUAACAGAAUUUGUUACCCAGAUUUCUGUGUUUCGCGGACUGUAAAAUAGAGUCAAACUUCCUCGAUUCGGGAUUUAAACUAGUGACUUGAGACACCAUAAAUCAUCCCAAGUGGCGACACUAAAUUUUAAAUAAAAUAAUAUCAUUUUAAUUGUCACUUAAAUUAGAAAAACUCCCUUAUACACCUUCCUGGGGUAGAAAAAUAAGGUGUGACAGCUCUGGCGACUCUGCUGGGGACAAGAACCUAGAAUCUCCGGUUCAGGGUUCAAGAAUUCGAGCUUAGAAUAAUUGUUAUAUUUGGCUUUAUUUCUUAUCUGAUUUUAUUUACAUGUUUGGGCCUAAUGUGCUAAAUGUUGCUUUUUACUGCUUUGAUAUUAUCUGAACUGUAUAUAAGCUGCUACGAAACCCCUUUCUUCUAAUCUUCUGAGAAGUGCACGCUGGCGUGACUUCUUUCUGUUAGUGUCGUACCCUAAUUUAGAACGAGGUUCGGACAAGUUGCAAAGCCGGAUAAUCUUUUGGUUACCGUUACGCUGCCCUCCCUCGGCUCGAGUUGUCUGCUCGGGUAAGCUAGGUCUAGAACAAUACACCCAGGUUUUAAAACCUAGAAUAACACAGCCUCAUGCCGAAUCCCUAGUAGGAACGCUUGAUUGCAUCAUGUGCAUUUGACUUUGGGGACUCAACACAGGGGUUGGGUCCGUCUAGGAUAGGUGUAUCCAAAAAUAAGAGACCAUCCUGAUGCAUUCUAUGUGCUAUAUGUUGCAAUUUUCAAGGGUGAAAGGCGCCAUUUGGCGGACCAAUGAUGGAUGAGGGUAAAUGAAAAAAAGAGGGUGAAGUGUAAAAAUAAAGCAAGUAGGGACCAGUUAUGUUUUUCUUUCACAUUUUUUUAAGAAAAAGAUAAAAAAAACAAGAAAAAUCCAAAAAGAUUUUGCACUUCCCCAUCAUUUUUCAAAAAACAAAAAAAUCGAAAAAAGAAAAAAAAAAGAAAAUCCAAAAAGAGUUUACAUGUUCCAUCAUUUUUUUUUAAAAAAAGGAGACAAAAAUAUAUUUUCUCUAAAUUAGUUAUUUUUUUAAUUCUUGCCCGUAUCCAAUCUGCCCGAACUACGCGAACAUGAUUCUCAUCUCUCGGGGUGGGAUAUCUAGGCAACUCACAUAGGGUUCGGUCUUCCUAGCAAGUCUUAGGUUCUUGGCUUCGCGGGGUCUUAUCCAAAUCUUGUAUUUUAGCCACUUCCACAUAGGUUAAUUUUAGAAAAAUAGUCACAAUCAUGUCUUGCAUGUGUCCAACAGGAAGUGAAAUUGUCUCACAUAGCGUUCUAGGUCUUUAACUUUAUUUGUUCUUAAUUUUCUCAUACAGGUGUGGAUUCACUUACCGGAGUUUGAGAAUGACAGACGCCCCAGGACCAUCCAGUCAGGAUCGCACAUUCAGGAGUGGCUUAAGGAGAUUUUUUAUUUUUUUUAUUUUUUUAUUUUAUGUUUGAGUCUGUUUUUCUUUUAUGCCGUCUUUGUACAGUAAUGCCGAGUCUUUUAGGUGAUGUUAGAAUCUGUCAUAG